GAAAUGCGAUAAGUAAUGUGAAUUUCAGAAUUCAGUGAAUCAUCGAAUCUUUGAACGCACCUUGCGCUCCUUGGUAUUCCUUGGAGCAUGCCUGUUUGAGUAUCAUGAAAUCUUCAAAGUAAAUCUUUUGUUAACUCAAUUGGUUUCUACUUUGGUAUUGGAGGUCUUUGCAGCUUCACACCUGCUCCUCUUUGUUCAUUAGCUGGAUCUCAGUGUUAUGCUUGGUUCCACUCGGCGUGAUAAGUUAUCUAUCGCUGAGGACACUGUAAAAGGUGGCCAAGGUAAAUGCAGAUGAACCGCUUCUAAUAGUCCAUUGACUUGGACAAUACUUUUAUGAUCUGAUAUCAAAUCAGGUAGGACUACCCGCUGAACUUAAGC
rnacentral:misc_RNA from 1 species